ACCGAUAGGACUAGGGGGAGUCACAUCCUACCAACUUCUGACGAACUCCGAAUGCCCGAUUAUUGCAGUGGGAGUGAGGGGUCGGGUGCUAAGGUCCGACUCCGAGAGGGGAACAACCCAGACCACCGGCUAAAGUCCCCAAGUGGGUGCUCAGUUGACCAAAGGAGGUUCGGUUGCCGAGACAGCCAGGAGGUUAGCUUGGAAGCAGCUAUUCCUUUAAAGAGUGCGUAACAG
rnacentral:rRNA from 1 species